rnacentral:rRNA from 1 species
CAGUAGCCGCGGGAAUACGAAGGGGGCUAGCGUUGUUCGGAUUUACUGGGCGUAAAGCGCACGUAGGCGGAUCGAUCAGUCAGGGGUGAAAUCCCAGAGCUCAACUCUGGAACUGCCUUUGAUACUGUCGAUCUGGAGUAUGGAAAAGGUGAGUGGAAUUCCGAGUGUAGAGGUGAAAUUCGUAGAUAUUCGGAGGAACACCAGUGGCGAAGGCGGCUCACUGGUCCAUUACUGACGCUGAGGUGCGAAAGCGUGGGGAGCAAACAGGAUUAGAUACCCCCGUAGUCCCUGUCUCUUAUAC